UUUUCAUGUGGCGGACGGGUGAGUAUUGAGAAUUUGCCCUUAUGGCAGAGGAUAACAAUUAGAAAUAAUUGCUAAAACUCUAUAUGUUGGAAACAAUGAAAAAAGAAAUUUGCCUAAGGAGAAGCUCACAUUUGAUUAGCUAGUUGGUAGGGUAAGAGCCUACCAAGGCGACGAUCAAUAGUUGGUCUGAGAGGACGAUCAGCCACACUGGAACUGAGACACGGUCCAGACUCCUACGGGAGGCAGCAGUGAGGAAUAUUCCGCAAUGGGCGAAAGCCUGACGGAGCAACGCCGCGUGAGGGAUGAAGGCCUACGGGUUGUAAACCUCUUUUUCCAAGGAGGAAGAUCUGACGUUACUUGGAGAAUAAGCAUCGGCUAACCCUGUGCCAGCAGCCGCGGUAAUACAGGGAUGCAUGUUACCGGAUUCAUUGGGCGUAAGCGUCUACAG
rnacentral:rRNA from 1 species